rnacentral:rRNA from 1 species
AGCGAACGCUGGCGGCAUGCUUAACACAUGCAAGUCGCGCGAUCGUGGGGAGACCUGCGGGAGCGGCGGACGGGUGAGUAACGCGUAGGUAUCUAUCUUUGGGUGGGGGACAACCGCGGGAAACUGCGGCUAAUACCGCAUGACGAGCCUGGCCGGGAGGUUGGGUUCCAAAGGCUGCAAGGUCGCCUGGGGCGGAGCCUGCGUACGAUUAGCUAGUUGGUGGGGUAAAGGCCUACCAAGGCUGUGAUCGUUAGCUGGUCUGAGAGGAUG